rnacentral:rRNA from 1 species
UACGGAGGGUGCGCGCGUUGUUCGGAAUCACUGGGCGUAAAGCGCGUGUAGGCGGCCUCCUAAGUCUGGUGUGAAAGCCCGGUGCUUACCCCCGGAAGUGCACUGGAAACUGGGGAGCUAGAGUACCGGAGAGGAGGGUGGAAUUCCUGGUGUAGCGGUGAAAUGCGUAGAUAUCAGGAGGAACACCGGUGGCGAAGGCGGCCCUCUGGACGGAUACUGACGCUGAGACGCGAAAGCGUGGGGAGCAAACAGG